rnacentral:miRNA from 1 species
GGAGGGAGAAAAAAAAAAAA